ACUUAUUUAACUCAGUGGUUAGAGUAUCGCUCUCAUACUAGGGCGGGCGAGAGUCAUUGGUUCAAAUCCAAUAGUAGGUA
rnacentral:tRNA from 1 species